rnacentral:tRNA from 1 species
GCCCUGGUGGUCUAAUGGUUAAGACUCUGCACUUCCACUGCAGGGGCAAUGGGUUUGAUCCCUGGUUGGGGAA